GACACUGAGCUGAUGGCUUUCCAGCCGCAGAACCUACACGACUUCCUGGCUGAAUUAUCCGUGGAUUACUAUAUCUAUAUAUACUAAACCGUAGAUGUAAAGGUGAAGAGUGUCGGCAAAUACACUUUCUGCCAUGUGGAAAAAGCUGGCCCGCAGUGAAAGGGAGAAAUGCAGCAGACACACAUGGAGACUCUGAGGCAAGAAACAAAGACCUUUCAAGAAGUAUUAAGGAAGCCAGAUCUCAUGCCUUACAGCACAGUGGGAAGAACCACUGCCUCCCAUUGGUUUGGAGGUGGAGGGUUGAAUGUGUGCAACAGAGCUGCUGUGAAUCCUGCCAUGGAGGCAUAUGUAAGAUGUGCUGAAGCCUUGCCUUUACCUCAAGGGACACUGAGCCAGCCGCCUGCAUGAAAGAUAAGUAAUACUGGUGGUGAAUACAUAGUAAGUCCAGUUUCAAUAGUCAAUUGUAAAAGUGAUAAGUUUCAAACUUAACAUUAAAAUUAUGUCUUAUGUCUGUUACUGAAUCCAAGUUAUCAUACAAAG